AACGAACGCUGGCGGCAGGCUUAACACAUGCAAGUCGAGGGGUAGAAGUCUUCGGACUUUGAGACCGGCGCACGGGUGCGUAACGCGUAUGCAAUCUACCUUGUACAAAGGGAUAGCCCAGAGAAAUUUGGAUUAAUACCUUAUAGUAUAUAGAUGUGGCAUCACAAUUAUAUUAAAGAUUUAUCUGUACAAGAUGAGCAUGCGUCCCAUUAGCUAGUUGGUAUGGUACGGCAUACCAAGGCAAUGAUGGGUAGGGGUCCUGAGAGGGAGAUCCCCCACACUGGUACUGAGACACGGACCAGACUCCUACGGGAGGCAGCAGUGAGGAAUAUUGGUCAAUGGGCGCAAGCCUGAACCAGCCAUGCCGCGUGCAGGAUGAAGCAUCUAUGGUGUGUAAACUGCUUUUGUACGGGAAGAAACACCUCUUCGUGAAGAGGCUUGACGGUACCGUAAGAAUAAGGAUCGGCUAACUCCGUGCCAGCAGCCGCAGUAA
rnacentral:rRNA from 1 species